rnacentral:rRNA from 1 species
UACGUAGGGGGCAAGCGUUAUCCGGAUUUACUGGGUGUAAAGGGAGCGUAGACGGCAGGGCAAGUCUGGAGUGAAAGGCAGGGGCCCAACCCCUGGACUGCUCUGGAAACUGUCCGGCUGGAGUGCAGGAGAGGUAAGUGGAAUUCCUAGUGUAGCGGUGAAAUGCGUAGAUACUAGGAGGAACACCAGUGGCGAAGGCGGCUUACUGGACUGUAACUGACGUUGAGGCUCGAAAGCGUGGGGAGCAAACAGG